UACAGAGGUCUCAAGCGUUGUUCGGAUUCAUUGGGCGUAAAGGGUGCGUAGGUGGCGCGGUAAGUCGGGUGUGAAAUUUCGGGAGCUUAACUCCGAAACUGCAUUCGAUACUGCCGUGCUUGAGGACUGGAGAGGAGACUGGAAUUUACGGUGUAGCAGUGAAAUGCGUAGAGAUCGUAAGGAAGACCAGUGGCGAAGGCGGGUCUCUGGACAGUUCCUGGACACUGAGGCAACGGAAGGCCAGGGGAGCAAACGGG
rnacentral:rRNA from 1 species